CAGAUGGAGAAGAAGAAAUGAUGUGGGUCCUCUCAUCCCCAGCUGCCCACGCUCCCUUCCUGGAGCCAGGCAUUCUGAGCAAAAAGUAGACCCCUUUGGAUACCCAGCUGGGGUCAUUUUGGCAGAGCCACACAGAAUGUGAGAAACUAAUCACUUCAAAGCCAGGUUUGCAGAACUGUGUCCAUUUUUUCUCCAAGAAAUUUCACACCUUGACACCAAGGAGCAGGUGUUUAAGAAAGAGGAAUUUAAGAGUGUGGAAGGACUGUUUAUGGAAAGGCAAGAACCCAAUUUGCAAACCCUCCUGUUGGCUUCACAAUAAUUCAUGCUCAUCUGCGUCUAAUAAAAUAUGGAAGCAAUUUUACAGGAA